GGGGGUGUGGCUCUGUUGGCAGAGCGCUUGCCUGGCAUGCAGGAAGCCCUGUGUUGGGUUCCCAGCACUGCCU
rnacentral:tRNA from 1 species